AGUAAAUUGGUUAAGUUAGAAAGGGCGCACGGUGGAUGCCUUGGCACUAGGAGCCGAAGAAGGACGGGACUAACACCGAUAUGCUUUGGGGAGCUGUACGUAAGCGUUGAUCCAGAGAUUUCC
rnacentral:rRNA from 1 species